UAAUACGUAGGGUGCAAGCGUUAAUCGGAAUUACUGGGCGUAAAGGGUGCGCAGGUGGUUUUGUAAGUCAGAUGUGAAAUCCCCGGGCUUAACCUGGGAAUUGCGUUUGAAACUACAAGACUAGAGUGUGGCAGAGGGGGGUGGAAUUCCAUGUGUAGCAGUGAAAUGCGUAGAUAUAUGGAGGAACAUCGAUGGCGAAGGCAGCCCCCUGGGUUAACACUGACACUCAUGCACGAAAGCGUGGGGAGCAAACAGGAUUAGAUACCCUGGUAGUCCACGCCCUAAACUAUGUCAACUAGUUGUUGGGUCUUAUUAGACUUAGUAACGAAGCUAACGCGUGAAGUUGACCGCCUGGGGAGUACGGUCGCAAGAUUAAAACUUAAAUGAAUUGACGG
rnacentral:rRNA from 1 species